AGCUGUUGGAGGCGUUCUGCCUCAAGCGGCCGAGGAAGACUGUCCAAUCUGCUGCAUUGGACCUAUGCAGGACAAGCCCAAUUUGAGCUUACAAAACUGCCAUAUGGAUCUGUCAGAGUUGGGCCCGCACAAAUCAUGUUGGCGGUGAUUCGAAAUGGUGUCAGGCUGUAGUCGCAAUUGCACUGUUGGUUUCCGACCACUGGGACCUCCACCUCCAUCAGGUCCUGGGGCGGUGGGAGAGGAACUGGACAUGCACACAAACAGAAACUCAGUUUGGGGAGAUUUCCCUACGUUUGAAACAAAGACCAUUUAAUAUUUUAUGGAAACAUCAAAGGCAAAUGUACAGUAAACAAAUUGAACUGUGAGUGUGGACCAACCUCCCGAGCCGAUGCGUCCCCACCCGGUGACCCAGCUGUCGAUUCCGGUGAAGAAGGAGCUCUGGGCGGCGGCCAGGCAGAUGGGCCGGAUGAAGUUGUUGAAG